UUCUAAAUUAUUAUUUACUAUAAUUUAUUUUCCUAAGUUUAAUUAUUUCUUUUAUACCAAAAUUUACUCCUUUUUUUUAAAAAAAAUGUCGAAAUUGCUAAAAUUUACCAUAGUAUUUUAUUUCACAGCUCUGUUUCUAUAUUAUUCAAUUGGAUUAGCGCAUACCUAUGUGACAGAGGGUCGUUAUUUAUUUAAAUGUCCGCCUUAUUGCAUGAUAUAUUGUCCUAAUGGAAAUGUGUUGGAUAGUAGAGGAUGCAAAACAUGCCAGGCCGAGCAAAUGGUAACAUCUACAGGUCUCUGAAAAAAUGAAUUUAUUUAUAAGCAUGAUAAAAUUAUUUAAUAGCAACUUUUUAAAUUUGGGAAAAAUUUAAUAUAAUUUUAAUUGUAAGAUUUCUGGAGUCAGAAAUUUGAAAAGGUA